rnacentral:lncRNA from 1 species
GGAAAUUUAAUUGUGACCUCCAAUCUAAUCGACUCUGCUUUGACUAAAAUUCUUGAGCUUCAAAGAGACCAAACAGCCUUGCCUUCCCCCGUUCAAUACAGAGUUUUUUAUCCAUCUCCCAAGUGCACAAUUGUAGCUUUUGUCUCUUCACCUGACUGCACUCAAAACCCUCUUCCUGGACAAGGAGAUUUAGUUCCCUCUCCUCUCUUUGACUUCCUCUGCACCGAAGAAUACCCUUCCGUCUCCAUUAACGGAGCCGCAUUAACCCUCUUUACCUCUCUCUACGAUCAUCUCUCUGGACUAAUAGAUGAGGUCAAAAUCUGAUACUUGUUUUAAUUUACGUUAACUUUUCGUUAACAAUUGUGAGACACGAAACAGCUUGACCAUGAGAUCUCCCUCAUGGAGUCAAAACCCGUGUUGGUAUCUGUUUUUAGAUCAACUUAUAUAUAUAUAUAUAUAUAUAUAUAUAUAUCUUGUGGAUAAAAGGAAAGUUUACAAGUGAGAAUAGUGGCAUUUUUCUGACAGAUUUCACACCGUUGCUUGUUUUGCAGUUGACUGUGAUUGAAGGUCGAUUAAUCAUCACUGGGCACUCGAUGGGAGGAUCCGUUGCUUCUCUCUUCACCUUAUGCCUGCUAGAAGUCAUUAAUAUAUCAAAACCCAAAUGCCGCCCCAUUUGCAUCACCUUUGGUUCACCCCUCAUAGGCGACUUUGGCCUCCAACACUCCAAUUGGAAUUCUUUCUUCUUGCAUGUAGUGUCCAACCAAGAUCUAGUCCCCGGACUCUUCCUCCCAUCCGGCAGAUCUCCUCCCACAUCCUCCCAUUCACAAACUACUGGUUACAAGCCCUUUGGGACAUAUCUCUUGUGCUCUGAACUUGGUUGUGCUUGUUUUGACAACCCUGAUUUAAUUUUGGAAUUGCUGAAAGUCAUAUCAUCAGAGGUUGCCGGAGGAUUGCGGGAUGUUGAUUACAGGAAGAUUUUAAUAAACCUCAAGGAGAGGGCAAUCUUCAAGGGACUUCAGCAGGUGGGUGAAAGGUUUGCAGAUCCCUUGUCAGCUGGGAUCGUCAUGGACCUUGAGAUAAUUGGAUUUGAUCAAACAAAGGUAAACAGCUUUCUCCCAAUUAAUGAUGUAGUAUGGUUUACACUCAACUUCACCAAAACCUGCAACAACUGCCCUAUUUAGAUUUGCCUUCCUGUUCUUUGGGUUCUUCUAUAACUUCUCAUUUUUUAAAUUCAUGGCAGCUGUUGCGGCACAACAUUGAUAUCAACACUGUGAUAAGGAUACUGGGAGUGGAAGCCAGAAUCCUAGCCCACAAAAAUAAAGCUUCUGAUGCCAAGAAACUGAAUGACAUAAAAAUACACAUGGCCCAGCUAGAAUGGUAUAAGAAGAAAUCAAAAGAUCUGAACAAGGGUUACUACGACUGCUUCAAAAACCAGGGGUCAAAAAGGGACAUUAAAAUUGAACAGUAUAGGGGACACCUCACAAUAUACUGGAAAGACAUGGUUGCACAAGUACAGAGGAAGCCCCAGAAGGAAGGAGCAUCAUUUCGAACCAGUUGGCUCUAUCCAGGGACAACUUAUAGAAGAAUGGUUGAACCACUGGACAUUGCUGCCUUCUACAGAGAGGGUAGAACAGACUACAUAAACAAUGGAAGAUCUCCUCAUUACAAGCUGUUGCAGCAAUGGUAUGAGGAAGAUGUGAAGCCCCCAUCCAGAGAUAAGCUCGAUUCCAAGAAACUAAAGGUGUCUGGUAUCCUAACUGAGGAUUCUUUGUUUUGGGCACAUGUGGAGGAGGCUCUCUUGUCAUGCGAAUCGCUCAAGAGUGCAAACUCUACUCUUGAGCAGAGAAAAUCAUCAUGGGAUAAUCUGGUUAAGUUUGGGGAGUAUGUAAUGGAACAGAUUGGAAACUAUGCAGUGUCCCCUGAGAUUUUCUUGGGGGAAAGCAGCUUCAUGAAAUGGUGGGGAGUGUAUGAGGACUACAUAGAUGCUUCCAAUAAUUCCUAUGGGUCACCAUUGAUCAGCUUUAUGAAGAACCGUAGUUAUAGACUGUAUGGUUAGAGGGCAAUCCAGUUUGUGUAUUGUGUUUAUUGUAUUGUGAGCAUUCAAUAGAUAAAACUAGAAAGAGCGUGACCUUUUUAUGACAACUUUAGAAACCAGGGGUUAAAAGAGACAUUACAAACUGAAGUUUUUGAGAGGAAACCUCAAGAGUAUACUGGGAAGCCAUGGUGGAACAAGUAGAGAGGAAGCCUCAGAAGGAAGGAGCAAUGGUUGAACCACUUGACAUUGUUGCCUACUACAGGGAGGGUGUAAGAAACAACAUAACCGAGGGAAGAUCUGAACGUUAAACGUUGUCCAAUUAUUAUAAAUGUCUUAUACAUUACGUGUGAAAAUACCAAAAAAAAUUAUAUUCAACAUUUAUGUUUGUAUACAAGCAAUAUUUUGGAUAGUUUGAUAUAAAAAACAAAUGAAGAAAAUGAAGAAAAACAUACAAAUAUAUUUACAAUGGACAAACUUAUACAAUUAGUAUAAAUGUCUUGUAUAUUUAGUACAAAUGUCUCGUACUUUGUAAAAAUAUAAAAAUAUAGUAUUUGACUUUUAUAUAUGUGUGAAAAUGUAAAAAGAAAAAGAAAAAUAGUUAGAGCAUUUGGUACCGUGAGUGAUGACUUCACCUAAAGAAAGGUUAAUGAAUAUUAUGGUCUCGAUGGAAGAGCGACUCCGGUAAAAUAUAUGGAUUAAAUUGAUGCUUUUCUUUUGACGAUGAAGUAGUUGAGUUAUGAAUACGAGGUUUUGCUAACAGCAUUGAAGGCAAGGAUUCCCUAAUAUACUCCAAUUCAUAUUCAAUUUGUAGACCUUCAACUAACUACUCUUGCUAACGAGCAUAUCCAAGUCAAUACAUAAGAUUAAUUAAGAUUAAGUAUUACGUAUGAUAAUUGAAACCCUAUUUAAAUAAAUAAUGACACAUAUAUAAAAAAUAUAUAUAUUUUUAAAAAAAUAAAUAACAAUUUAGAGAAUUUCAUAACUUAGCAUCAAACCUAUUGUAAGAAAGAGUAUUAUACAAUGUAGGGUUUAGGAUCCAAGUCAACCUAAGAUCAAAUUUAAGUUUUAAGAUCAAUUCACAUUCAAAACUAAGGUUUUAAGUUUCAAAAAUAUAUUUCUUAAACCAAUUAAAUGGAAAAAAGAAAAUUACAAAGAAAAUUUCUCCCUCAUCAGUUUCUUUUAUCUUGAAAACUAAAGGAAAUAUAUAUCAAUAUUUGAGAUGGAAAUUCAUAAUCUUAGGUGGUGUUUGUUUUUUUGGCUUUUUGCUGAAAACUAUUUAGUUUUAGAAUUUAGGUUUUUUUUUUUUUUUACUUUUUCAUGACUUAUAAUAAACUUUUUACUAAAUAGAAAAAACCAAAAUAUGUGGUUUUUUCUAAAUAGAAAAAAUAACACAAUGGUUUUUUUUACUUUUUAAUACUUAAUAGAAAUAAAAUACUACAAAAACAAACAUCUUAAUAUUUAAUACUAUUAAGUAUUAAGGUUCUAUUUAGAAUUAAGUAAAAAAACAAACACCACCUUAGAAACACAAAGAACAAAGAGAGUAUGAAGAGACCAUACCAUGAGAGAUUUUCCGAAAGGUUGGUAAACCAUGGUAAUCACCUUUGAGUCUUGCUGAGAAAAACAAACCUUAUUUAUUUUUAUUUUUUUAUCAUUUUUUCUCUUGUGUGGUGUACAUUUAAGAAAAACAAAUCUCAAAAAAAAAAAAAAACACAAACCAAAUAAUGCCAGAAUUUGGGUUGAGAAACACCCAAAAGAUAGUGGCCCAAUACAUGUGCCUAAGAAAAUCUUCAUGAGCCGAUAAACAUAGUCACAAAACUAGUAACAGCCUUGUAGCCAUAGUUGGUGUAGUAUGAGCAAGUGGGGUAUGAAGUAGGUAGGUGAGUAUUGCAAUGAAAUUUCCAGCACUGCUUCCUGAAUUAAGAAAUCACAUACCCAAGUCUUAGUCGUCGUCGUCGUCGUACCGUGUGAGAACCGGGAAGAAUCUUUGCUCGUAGACUGGCUUUUGUAGUCUUUCUUUAACAAUUACAAGUUAUCUGAAUUCCCUUCAUCCUCCUAUAUAAUAUUGUUUUGGUCUUGUUCUUGUUGCAUUGUGGCUAGGCAUCUCCAUGGAAGGAAGGAGGAUGAAUCAAGUUCCUUUGUAUGAAUCAAUUUCUCUGCUCUUUUUUUUUUUCAAUCCUUGAAUCGAAUCAUUGCUUAGUUCUUGCUUUAAUUUCUCCAUUUUCUGUUGGGUCUUUGAUUGCAGGUUUAGCUCUGCAAGAGAACUGGGAAAUUUAAUUGUGACCUCCAAUCUAAUCGACUCUGCUUUGACUAAAAUUCUUGAGCUUCAAAGAGACCAAACAGCCUUGCUUUCCCCCGUUCAAUACAGAGUUUUUUUAUCCAUCUCCCAACUGCACAAUUGUAGCUUUUGUCUCUUCACCUGACUGCACUCAAAACCCUCUUCCUGGACAAGGAGAUUUAGUUCCCUCUCCUCUCUUUGACUUCCUCUGCACCGAAGAAUACAAGUCCGUCUCCAUUAACAGAGCUGCAUUAACCCUCUUUACCUCUCUCCACGAUCAUCUCUCUGGACUAAAAACUCAGGUCAAAAUAUGAUAGUUGUUUUUAUUUUCGUUUCCUUUUUGUUAACAAUUGUGAGACAUGAAACAGCUUGACCAUGAGAUCUCUCUCAUAGAGUCAAACUACCUGAAGAAGAAGAAGACGUUACACAUAUCCAUCUGCGUUGCAUCAUCGCAUUACCCAUUGAUCGGUUGUGAUUCAACUCUUAAUAGGAAGACAGUAGAACUGGUGUUGGUAUCUGUUUUUAGAUCAGCUUAUAUGUAUCUUGUUGCUAAAAAGGGAAUGUUUAGAAGUGAGAUUAAUGGGAUUAUUCUGACAUGGAUUUCAUAUGGUUACCUGUUUUGCAGUUGACUGUGAUUGAAGGUCAAUUAAUCAUCACUGGGCACUCCCUGGGAGGAGCCGUUGCUUCUCUCUUCACCUUAUGCCUGCUAGAUGAAAAUUUAUUAAAACCCAAAUGCCGCCCCUUUUGUAUCACCUUUGGUUCACCCCUCGUCGGCGGCUUUGGCCUCCAACACUCCAUAUGGAAUUCUUUCUUCCUGCAUGUAGUGUCUAACCAAGACCCAGUCCCCGGUCUCUUCCUCCCAUCUGGCAGAGGCAGAUCUACGCCCACAUCCUCCCAUUCACAAACUACCGGUUACAAGCCCUUUGGGACAUAUCUCUUGUGCUCUGAACUUGGUUGUGCUUGUUUUGACAACCCUGAUUUAAUUUUGGAAUUGCUGAAAGUCAUAUCAUCAGAGGUUGCCGGAGGAUUGCAGGAUGUUGAUUAUGGGGAGAUUUUAAGAAACCUCAAGGAGAGGGCAAUCUGCAAGGGACUUCCGCAGGUGGGUGAAAGGUUUGCAAAUCCAUUUUCAGCUGGGAUCAUCAUGGAACUUGAGACAAUUGGAUUUAAUCAAACAAAGGUAAACAGCUUUCUCCCAUCUAAUGAUGUUAUGGAACAUGGUUUACACCUCAUUAAAUACUGCAACAACUGCCCUAUUUAGAUUUACCUUCUUGUUCUUUGGGAUUUUCCAUAACUAGACUCAUUUUUUAAUUUCAUGGCAGCUGCUGCAGCAUAACAUUGAUAUCGAGACUGUGAUAAGCGCAAUGGAAGCGGAAGCAAGAAACCUAACCCAGAAAAAUAAAGCUUCCGAUGCCAAGAAACUGAAUGAAAUAAAAAUAGACAUGACCCGGCUAGAAUUGUAUAAGAAGAAUUCGAACAUGGGUUACUACGAUUGCUUCAAAAACCAGGGGUCUAAAAGGGACAUCCACGUUGAACAGUUUAGGGUAAACCUCACAGGGUACUGGGAAGGCAUGGUUGCACAAAUACAGAGGAAGCCUCAUAAGGAAGGAGCAACAUUUCGAACCCGUUGGCUCUAUGCAGGGACGGUUUAUAGAAGAAUGGUUGAACCACUGGACAUUGCUGCCUUCUACAGAGAGGGUAGAAAAGACUACAUGAAUAAAAGAUCUGCACAUUACAAGCUGUUGCAGGAAUGGUAUGAGGAAGAUGUGAAACCCCCCUCUAGAGAUAAGCUUGAUUCCAAGAAGCAAAAGGUGUCCAGUAUCCUAACUGAGGAUUCUUGCUUUUGGGCACAUGUGGAGGAGGCUAUCUUGUCAUGCGAAUUGCUCAAGAGUGAAAACUGUAAUCUUGAGGAGGGAAAAUCAUCAUGGGAUAAUCUGGUUAAGUUCGAGGAGUAUGUAAUGGAACAGAUUGACAACUAUGCAGUGUCCCCUGAGAUUUUCUUGGAGAAAAGCAGCUUCAUGAAAUGGAGGGGACUGUAUGAGGGCUACAUAGAUACUCGCAGUAAUUCCCAUAGCUCGCCAUUGAUCAGCUUUAUGAAGAAUCGUAGUUAUAGACAAUAUGGAUAGAGGGGUAAUCCAGUUUGUGUGUUGUGUGUAUUGUUUUGUGAGCAUUCAAUGGAUAGAACUAGAAAGAGUGUGACCUUUUCCUUUUUUUUUUCAGUUGCUGCCCAUAUUCUCAGCACUAUUUUCUUCCUUCUUUUCCUCAGUUUUUUUGUUAAGAAAUGAAUAUUAUGAUGUUGCCGGGAUGCACUUUCAUUUUUGUUCCAUUACAUUGUGUUUUAUUCAUAUCCUAAACAAAUAAAUGUAAACAAGAAAAUCAAAUGAGACUUCAAAGAGUCUGUUCCUUUUAAAGCAAGGGAAAAAAAGGACAUGUUUGUUUACUUCCACAGCUGGGUAGAUUCAACUCCACCAAAAUUGGCAACAACUUCCCAUUGAAAAAUUCCUUUUAAGCUUGAAUGACAUAAAACUAGAUAUGUUCCAGCUAGAAUGGUACAAGAAAGAAAUCAAAAGAUGAGCACAAUGGGUUAUUAUGACAGCUUUAGAAACCUGGGGUGUAAAAGAGACAUUAAAAUGGAACCGAGGGGAAGACAUUGUAGAACAAGUAAAGAGGAAGCCUCACCAGGAAGGGCAGCUUUGCAAACCCUCUGGCUCUGUACAGGAACGAAUUAUAGAAAGAUGGUUGAACCACUUGACAUUGCUGCCUACCACAGAGAGGGUGGAAGAAACUACAUAACCAAUGGAGGAUGUAAACAUUACACGCUAUUAGAGCAAUGAUGCAAUGAAGAGAAGGGGACUUUGUCUUCCAAUAAUUUAAGAAAAUAAAACCAAAUAAUGCCAGAAUUUGGGUUGAGAAACACCCAAAAGAUAGUGGCCCAAUAUGAAGUAGUCACAAAACUAGUAACAGCCUUGUGGCCAUAGUUGGUGUAGUAUGAGCAAGUGGGGUAUGAAGUAGGUAGGUGAGUAUUGCAAUGAAAUUUCCAGCACUGCUUCCUGAAUUAAGAAAUCACAUACUCAAGUCUUAAUCGUUGUCAUCAUACCGUGUGAGAACCGAGGAAGAAUCUUUGCUCUUAGACUGGAUUUUGUAGUCUUUCUUUAACAAUUACAAGUUAUCUGAAUUCCCUUCAUCCUCCUAUAUAAUAUUGUUUUUGGUCUUGUUCUUGUUGCAUUGUGGCUAGGCAUCUCCAUGGGAGGAAGGAGGAUGAAUCAAGUUCCUUUGUAUGAAUCAAUUUCUCUGCUCUUUUUUUUUUCAAUCCUUGAAUCGAAUCAUUGCUUAGUUCUUGCUUUAAUUUCUCCAUUUUCUGUUGGGUCUUUGAUUGCAGGUUUAGCUCUGCAAGAAAACUGGGAAAUUUAAUUGUGACCUCCAAUCUAAUCGACUCUGCUUUGACUAAAAUUCUUGAGCUUCAAAGAGACCAAACAGCCUUGCCUUCCCCCGUUCAAUACAGAGUUUUUUAUCCAUCUCCCAACUGCACAAUUGUAGCUUUUGUCUCUUCACCUGACUGCACUCAAAACCCUCUUCCUGGACAAGGAGAUUUAGUUCCCUCUCCUCUCUUUGACUUCCUCUGCACCGAAGAAUACAAGUCCGUCUCCAUUAACAGAGCUGCAUUAACCCUCUUUACCUCUCUCCACGAUCAUCUCUCUGGACUAAAAACUCAGGUCAAAAUAUGAUAGUUGUUUUUAUUUUCGUUUCCUUUUUGUUAACAAUUGGGAGACAUGAAACAGCUUGACCAUGAGAUCUCUCUCAUAGAGUCAAACUACCUGAAGAAGAAGAAGACGUUACACAUAUCCAUCUGCGCUGCAUCAUCGCAUUACCCAUUGAUCGGUUGUGAUUCAACUCUUAAUAGGAAGACAGUAGAACUGGUGUUGGUAUCUGUUUUUAGAUCAGCUUAUAUGUAUCUUGUUGCUAAAAAGGGAAUGUUUAGAAGUGAGAUUAAUGGGAUUAUUCUGACAUGGAUUUCAUAUGGUUACCUGUUUUGCAGUUGACUGUGAUUGAAGGUCGAUUAAUCAUUACUGGGUACUCGAUGGGAGGAUCCGUUGCUUCUCUCUUCACCUUAUGCCUGUUAGAAGUCAUCAAUUUAUCAAAACCCAAAUGCCGCCCCAUUUGUAUCACCUUUGGUUCACCCCUCAUAGGCGACUUUGGCCUCCAACACUCCAAUUGGAAUUCUUUCUUCUUGCAUGUAGUGUCCAACCAAGAUCUAGUCCCCGGACUCUUCCUCCCAUCCGACAGAUCUCCUCCCACAUCCUCCCAUUCACAAACUACUGGUUACAAGCCCUUUGGGACAUAUCUCUUGUGCUCUGAACUUGGUUGUGCUUGUUUUGACAACUCUGAUUUAAUUUUGGAAUUGCUGAAAGUCAUAUCAUCAGAGGUUGCCAGAGGAUUGCGGGAUGUUGAUUACAGGAAGAUUUUAAGAAACCUCAAGGAGAGGGCAAUCUGCAAGGGACUUCCGCAGGUGGGUGAAAGGUUUGCAAAUCCAUUUUCAGCUGGGAUCAUCAUGGAACUUGAGACGAUUGGAUUUAAUGAAACAAAGGUAAACAGCUUUCUCCCAUCUACUGAUGUUAUGGAACAUGGUUUACACAUCAUUAAAUACUGCAACAACUGCCCUAUUUAGAUUUAGGGCAAUGAUGAAAAUAUCAGUAAUCACGGAUAUAUCAGUAUUUCGAUUUUACGGAUAUAUCGGAUAUAUCGGAGAUAUAUCGGUAGAUAUUUUGAAAAAAAAUAUCGGCAAGCUUAAAAUUGUUAAAAACUCAUGAAAAUAUAAGAAAAUCUCAUAAUAAUAUAAUUAAAAGUAUAAUAGACAUUUUAAAGUUAUUUUAUUGAAAAUUUUGAUAUAUGUAUAACAUGAUUUAUCAUAUUUGAUAAUAAUAUCGUAUGCGUCGAUAAAAAUAUGAAUUUUAUAAGUGUACAUUUAUUAUUAAAUUACACCUAAUAUUAUGAUAUCUGAUUAUAAUAUGUCUAAUUUUAAAAUAUAUAUUAGUAUUAAAAUAUGAUCCAUUUAAUUCAAUUGUAUUAAACAAUAUAAAAUAAAUAAUGAUAUAUAUAUAUAUAUAUAUAAUUUUUUAAUAUUUAAUUAAUUAUUAAUGAUAUUAAAAACAUUAUGAAGAAAAUUAUAUAAUUUUUUAAUUUUUGGUAAUUAAUUAAAAGACUUUGCAUUUAAUUAUAAAUUAAUUAUAAUUAAUUUACUCUUUAAAAUAUUCUUAUAUUUUCUUUAUAUAAUGAAUUUAAGUAUAUAUAUAGUUGUUGCAUAUUAUAUAUUAAAGGACAACUUAGCCCAAGUGGUAAGCGAGUGAACCCCAAUGUGAGGCAUUGUAGCACGUGCACUGUAGCAUCACUGUAGCGACUCUGACUUUCGUUGACCCGCAUUGACUACACGAUAUAUCGGAGAAAAAUCACUGAUUUAUCGCCAAAUCACCAAUAAAUCGCCGAUUUCUCGCGAUAAAUACCAAAAUAUAGUGUCGAAACCCUUCGAUACACGAUUUUUCGGCGCAUUUUCUUACUUGGAUUUACCUUUUUGUUCUUUGGGAUCUUCCAUGACUCAUUUUUUAAUGCCAUUUUAUUUUCCUUUUUGUUUCUAAAUUUUUAAAAAAUCGUUUUCACUUCUUUUUUUUAAGAAAAUUUUGGCAAAUUUUGAAAAUAUAAUAUUAGUGUUUUCACUUCUUUCUUUUUUUUUUUUUUCUUUUUUUUUUUAAACUCAAUUUUCUAAAAAAUGAAAAUAGAAAAACAUUGUCUAAACAUGUUUGUAAACUUAAUUUUAUUUUUUUAUAAAUGAAAAAAAAAAUCUAAAUGAGUAAGGCUUUAUUAAUUUUAAUUUUUUUCUUUUCCUUAUAUUUUCUUAUUUUAUUCCAAAUUUUCUUGCAACCAAACAUAAUCUAAAUGUUUACAACUUUUAUUGUAAGGAAUGAAUGACACUACUUUGUGAACUUUUAUGAUAAUAUUUUGAAUCAUAAAUUGUGUUUUUUUUAGUAAUAUCAAUUUUAUUACCAAUGACUUAAUUGUUAAUAACAAAAUAUAAUAUUUAUAAAUAUUUUUAUUCUCAACAGGCUACAAUUUUUACUCUUGUGAUAAAAAAAAUUUUGUCAUAAAUUACACAUUAUGAUGAGUUUUUCUAUUUUCCUUAUCAGCCAAUUCAACAAAUAUCAUAUAUAUUGUAAUGGCUAACAAAUUUUCACAUAAAUUUUUUAUAAGAUAAAGUAGAAUGGAAUUAUUCAAUUUCAAAAAAAAAAAAAAUGGUACCUAAUGAAAAAGAUAAAAUAUAUAGAUCAUCUCGAAGAAAUCAGGAAAGAUAAAUGAUGAGACCAUAUAUAGGACCCUUGAUGGAGACUAUUUUAAUUGAAGUGGUGUGCUCCUUCCGACUCAGAACAUGUUCAGCAUUGCACACAAACUAACAUCGUCGAUCUUGAGUAUGAAAAAGGUGAUUAGAUUCCAAGGUUGUCGUUUGUCCCAACUCCUCAUAUUAGAGGUGAUGCUCAAGCUAACGUGCCUCGCAGUUGAGCCCCGGCCAAUCGGUCUAAUAUGCUUUUCCAAUGGUGAGUUUCACUGCCACCAUGUAUUACAUUAAUUCCGAUAGCGCACAAGUUGUGUUUGUGCUAUUGCUUUUUGCCCUCACAAACAUAUACACAAGAGACAUUCAGACCAGAUCUGUUCUACCAUCCUCUAGGAAAGCAUUGUAGGUCAUUUGAAAUUGGGAUUUCAGCACCAGAGUCAAAUUGCCUUCCUUCCUGAAAGAUGAGCAUUUUUUAUACUCUUACAUCGGCUUUUAUGGAAAUGAAAUCAGCUUCUCAUUCUGUUACAUUUUUCAAUUUUGCUGCCUAUAACUGCUCACUGCCUGUUUGUGAGACAUUAUCCAGAUUUUCCCUGAUCAAUUAUAGAGAGGUCAUUGGACUCAUCCAUGAUUGGAAUUUCCUGUUAUCAUUAUUUGCAAAUCAUCAACCAUUUGUCAUGAUAUCUUAAGUUAAGCUGAGCACGAAUUUCAGCUAAGAUCCUCAGAACUAGAAAUAUGCACUGCAGGUAUUACUUGAUAUGUGAAUAUCCAAUACAAUAUUUUUUUACUAAGAGGAAUACGAAUUUGAAACACUUUCCAAUAAUUUAUCAAGUCAUAUUUUCGUGCUGUCGUGAUACAUGUGUCUACUGUAUGCAUGGCUUUUCUUUUCUACACAUGCCUUUAUCUUUGCACAUGACUCUUUUGAUACACGCCAGCAUCAAGGCAAUUGCCUAAAUCUAAAUCACAUCCUUUGUGUCACGUCUUCCUUGUUACCACGGUCCUCUUGUACACCAUGGUCCCUUAAUGUAACUUGUGCCACAAGCCCUUUGUGCAUGAAUUCAAAUUGUUCAAUCAUUUCGCCAUUUACACCUUUUAAGGUCCAAUAAGCGUAUACAAGAGACUACACUCAUUCUAGAUGAUAAAGUACAUUCAACUAACUACUCUUGCUAAUGAGCAUAUCCAAGUCAAUACAUAAGAUUAAUUAUUACAUAUGGUAAUUGAAACCCUGUUUAAAUAAAUAGUGACACAAAUAUAAAAAAUAUAUAUAUUUAAAAAUAAAUAAAUAACAAUUUAGAGAAUUUCAUAACUUAGUAUCAAACCUAUUGUAGGAAAGAGUAUUAUACAAUGUAGGGUUUAGGAUCAAAGUUAACCUAAGAUCAAUUUUAAGUUUUAAGACCAAUUCAAAUUCAAAACUAAGGUUUUAAGUUUCAAAAAUAUAUCUCUUAAACCAAUUAAAUAGAAAAAAGAAAAUUACAAAGAAAAUUUCUUCCUCAUCGGUUUCUUUUAUCUUGAAAACUAAAGGAAAUAUAUAUCAAUAUUUGAGAUGGAAAUUCAUAAUCUUAGAAACACAAAGAACAAAGAGAGUAUGAAGAGACCAUACCAUGAGAGAUUUUCCAAAAGGUUGGUAAACCAUGGUAAUCACCUUUGAGUUUUGCUGAGAAAAACAAACCUUAAUUUUUAUUUUUAUUUUUUUAUCAUUUUUUCUCUUGUGGUGUACAUUUAAGAAAAACAAAUCUUAAAAAAAAAAAAAAAAAAACCAAAUAAUGCCAGAAUUUGGGUUGAGAAACACCCAAAAGAUAGUGGCCCAAUACAUGUGCCUAAGAAAAUCUUCAUGAGCCGAUAAACAUAGUCACAAAACUAGUAACAGCCUUGUAGCCAUAGUUGGUGUAGUAUGAGCAAGUGGGGUAUGAAGUAGGUAGGUGAGUAUUGCAAUGAAAUUUCCAGCACUGCUUCCUGAAUUAAGAAAUCACAUACCCAAGUCUUAGUCGUCGUCGUCGUACCGUGUGAGAACCGGGAAGAAUCUUUGCUCGUAGAGUGGCUUUUGUAGUCUUUCUUUAACAAUUACAAGUUAUCUGAAUUCCCUUCAUCCUCCUAUAUAAUAUUGUUUUUGGUCUUGUUCUUGUUGCAUUGUGGCUAGGCAUCUCCAUGGAAGGAAGGAGGAUGAAUCAAGUUCCUUUGUAUGAAUCAAUUUCUCUGCUCUUUUUCUUUUCAAUCCGUGAAUCGAAUCAUUGCUUAGUUCUUGCUUUAAUUUCUCCAUUUUCUGUUGGGUCUUUGACUGCAGGUUUAGCUCUGCAAGAGAACUGGGAAAUUUAAUGGUGACCUCCAAUCUAAUCGACUCUGCUUUGACUAAAAUUCUUGAGCUUCAAAGAGACCAAACAGCCUUGCUUUCCUCCGUUCAAUACAGAGUUUUUUAUCCAUCUCCCAAGUGCACAAUUGUAGCUUUUGUCUCUUCACCUGACUGCACUCAAAACCCUCUUCCUGGACAAGGAGAUUUAGUUCCGUCUCCUCUCUUUGACUUCCUCUGCACCGAAGAAUACAAGUCCGUCUCCAUUAACAGAGCUGCAUUAACCCUCUUUACCUCUUUCCACGAUCAUCUCUCUGGACUAAAAACUCAGGUCAAAAUAUGAUAGUUGUUUUUAUUUUCGUUUCCUUUUUGUUAACAAUUGUGAGACAUGAAACAGCUUGACCAUGAGAUCUCUCUCAUAGAGUCAAACUACCUGAAGAAGAAGAAGACGUUACACAUAUCCAUCUGCGUUGCAUCAUCGCAUUACCCAUUGAUCGGUUGUGAUUCAACUCUUAAUAGGAAGACAGUAGAACUGGUGUUGGUAUCUGUUUUUAGAUCAGCUUAUAUGUAUCUUGUUUCUAAAAAAGGUAAGUUUAGAAGUGAGAUUAAUGGGAUUAUUCUGACAUGGAUUCCAUAUGGUUACCUGUUUUGCAGUUGACUCAGAUUGAAGGUCAAUUAAUCAUCACUGGGCACUCCCUGGGAGGAUCCGUUGCUUCUCUCUUCACCUUAUGCCUGCUAGAUGGAAAUUUAUUAAAACCCAACUGCCGCCCCUUUUGUAUCACCUUUGGUUCACCCCUCAUCGGCGGCUUUGGCCUCCAACACUCCAUAUGGAAUUCUUUCUUCCUGCAUGUAGUGUCUAACCAAGACCCAGUCCCCGGUCUCUUCCUCCCAUCUGGCAGAGGCAGAUCUACGCCCACAUCCUCCCAUUCACAAACUACCGGUUACAAGCCCUUUGGGACAUAUCUCUUGUGCUCUGAACUUGGUUGUGCUUGUUUGGAAAAGCCUGAUUUAAUUUUGGGAUUGCUGAAAGUCAGAUCAUCCGAGGUUGCCGGAGGAUUGCAGGAUGUUGAUUAUGGGGAGAUUUUAAGAAACCUCAAGGAGAGGGCAAUCUGCAAGGGACUUCAGCAGGUGGGUGAAAGGUUUGCAGAUCCUUUUACAGCUGGGAUCAUCAUGGACCUUGAGAUAAUUGGAUUUGAUCAAACAAAGGUAAACAGCUAGCUUUCUCCCAUCUAAUGAUGUUAUGAAACAUGGUUUACACUUCACCAAAUACUGCAACAACUGCCCUAUUUAGAUUUGCCGUCUUGUUCUUUGGGAUCUUCCAUAACUAGACUCAUUUUUUAAUUUCAUGGCAGCUGCUGCAGCAUAACAUUGAUAUCGAGACUGUGAUAAGCACAAUGGAAGAGGAAGCCAGAAACCCAACCAAAAAAAAUAAAGCUUUCGAUGCCAAGAUUCUGAAUCACAAAAAAAAAGACAUGGCCGGGCUAGAAUGGUAUAAGAAGAAAUCAAAAGAUCUGAACAAGGGUUACUACGACUGCUUCAAAAACCAGGGGUCAAAAAGGGACAUUAAAAUUGAACAGUAUGGGGGACACCUCACAUUAUACUGGAAAGACAUGGUUGCACAAGUACAGAGGAAGCCCCAGAAGGAAGGAGCAACAUUUCGAACCCGUUGGCUCUAUGCAGGGACGGUUUAUAGAAGAAUGGUUGAACCACUGGACAUUGCUGCCUUCUACGUAGAGGGUGGAACAGACUACAUGAAGAAUGAAAGAUCUCUUCAUUACAAGCUGUUGCAGCAAUGGUAUGAGGAAGAUGUGAAACCCCCCUCUAAGGAUAAGCUUGAUUCCAAGAAGCAAAAGGUGUCUGGUAUCCUAACUGAGGAUUCUUGCUUUUGGGCACAUGUGGAGGAGGCUAUCUUGUCAUGCGAAUUGCUUAAGAGUGAAAACUGUACUCUUGAGCAGGAAAAAUCAUCAUGGGAUAAUCUGGUUAAGUUCGAGGAGUAUGUAAUGGAACAGAUUAACAACUAUGCAGUGUCCCCUGAGAUUUUCUUGGGGGAAAGCAGCUUCAUGAAAUGGUGGGGACUGUAUGAGGGCUACAUAUAUGCUCGCAGUAAUUCCCAUAGGUCACCAUUGAUCAGCUUUAUGAAGAACGGUAGUUAUACAGAGUAUCGUUAGAGGGGUAAUCCAGUUUGUGUGUUGUGUGUAUUGUUUUGUGAGCAUUCAAUGGAUAGAACUAGAAAGAGUGUGACCUUUUUCCUUUUUUUCUUCUAGUUGCUGCCCAUAUUCUCAGCACUAUUUUCUUCCUUCUUUUCCUCAGUUUUUUCUUAAGAAAUGAAUAUUAUGAUGUUGCUGGGAUGCACUUUCAUUUUUGUUCCAUUACAUUGUGUUUUAUUCAUAUCCUAAACAAAUAAAUGUAAACAAGAAAAUCAAAUAAGACUUCAAAGAGUCUGUUCCUUUUAAAGCAAGGGAAAAAAAGGACAUGUUUGUUUACUUCCACAGCUGGGUAGAUUCAACUCCACCAAAAUUGGCAACAACUUCCCAUUGAAAAAUUCCUUCUAAGCUUGAAUGACAUAAAACUAGAUAUGUUCCAGCUAGAAUGGUACAAAAAAGAAAUCAAAAGAUGAGCACAAUGGGUUAUUAUGACAGCUUUAGAAACCAUCUUACAACACAUCCAUCAGAAUUUAGACUAUUCAUAGAAACAUUCUUAACAUGUAAAUCUACUAUUGCCAUGCACGUCAACAUAGAAUUUCUAAAAUGAUUGAAUAAAAUAAAUAAAACAAAAGAAACCCUUCCAAGAGAAUUUCAUAAUCUAAUGUCAAAUCUAUUACGAAGAUGAACAUGUAAAAUUUAAGGUUUAUAAUCAAAGUCGACUUGAAUCUGAGUUUUAAAACCAAUUUGCAGUUUUUAAGUUUGGAGACUAGAUCUCUUAAACCAAUUAAAUGUAAAAAACUAAAAAGAAAACUUCUUCAAAUUUUGAAAUGAGAAUGAGAAUGCAAUUCCUAACUAGUUUCUUCAUCAAAAAUCCCGAAAAAAAAAAAAAAAGAAGAGAGAGAGAGACCAUAGACGCCAGUGUUUGGGUUUAGAACCACCCAAGAGAGAGUAGUCCAAUAUAUGGGCUUAAGAAAAUCCUCAUGGGCCUAAGCUAAGACUAGGAACAAUCUUGUAUCCGUGGUUGGUUUAGUAUGAGCAUGUGUACUGCGAAGGAAGUAGCUGAGAAUUGCAAUGGAAUUUCCAGUACUGCUUCCUGAACGAACAAAUCGCAUACCCAAGAUUUGGUCGUCAACGCCAUGCUGGGUGAGAACCGGGGAAGCAUCUUCGCUCGUUGACGAGCUUUUGUAGUCCUUCUUUAACAAUUAUAAGGCAUCUGAAUUCCCUUCAUCCUCCCACACCAUUGUUUUUGGUCUUGUUCUUGUUGCUUUGUGACUACGCAUCUCCAUGGAAGGAAGGAGGAUGAACCAAGUUCCUUUGUAUGCAUCAAUUUUACUGUUUUUUUUUUCCUUUUUAAUCUUUGGAUCGAAUCAUUGCUUAGUUCUUGCUUAAUUUCUCCAUUUUAUGUUGGGUCUUUGAUUGCAGGUUUAGCUCUGCGCGAGAACUGGGAAAUUUAAUUGUGACCUCCAAUCUAAUCGACUCUGCUUUGACUAAAAUUCUUGAGCUUCAAAGAGACCAAACAGCCUUGCCUUCCCCCGUUCAAUACAGAGUUUUUUAUCCAUCUCCCAAGUGCACAAUUGUAGCUUUUGUCUCUUCACCUGACUGCACUCAAAACCCUCUUCCUGGACAAGGAGAUUUAGUUCCCUCUCCUCUCUUUGACUUCCUCUGCACCGAAGAAUACCCUUCCGUCUCCAUUAACGGAGCCGCAUUAACCCUCUUUACCUCUCUCUACGAUCAUCUCUCUGGACUAAUAGAUGAGGUCAAAAUCUGAUACUUGUUUUAAUUUACGUUAACUUUUCGUUAACAAUUGUGAGACACGUAUAUAUAUAUAUAUAUAUAUAUAUCUUGUGGAUAAAAGGAAAGUUUACAAGUGAGAAUAGUGGCAUUUUUCUGACAGAUUUCACACCGUUGCUUGUUUUGCACUUGACUGUGAUUGAAGGUCGAUUAAUCAUCACUGGGCACUCGAUGGGAGGAUCCGUUGCUUCUCUCUUCACCUUAUGCCUGCUAGAAGUCAUUAAUAUAUCAAAACCCAAAUGCCGCCCCAUUUGCAUCACAUUUGGUUCACCCCUCAUAGGCGACUUUGGCUUCCAACACUCCAAUUGGAAUUCUUUCUUCUUGCAUGUAGUGUCCAACCAAGAUCUAGUCCCCGGACUCUUCCUCCCAUCCGGCAGAUCUCCUCCCACAUCCUCCCAUUCACAAACUACUGGUUACAAGCCCUUUGGGACAUAUCUCUUGUGCUCUGAACUUGGUUGUGCUUGUUUUGACAACCCUGAUUUAAUUUUGGAAUUGCUGAAAGUCAUAUCAUCAGAGGUUGCCGGAGGAUUGCGGGAUGUUGAUUACAGGAAGAUUUUAAUAAACCUCAAGGAGAGGGCAAUCUUCAAGGGACUUCAGCAGGUGGGUGAAAGGUUUGCAGAUCCCUUGUCAGCUGGGAUCAUCAUGGACCUUGAGAUAAUUGGAUUUGAUCAAACAAAGGUAAACAGCUUUCUCCCAAUUAAUGAUGUAGCAUGGUUUACACUCAACUUCACCAAAACCUGCAACAACUGCCCUAUUUAGAUUUGCCUUCCGGUUCUUUGGGUUCUUCUAUAACUUCUCAUUUUUUAAAUCCAUGGCAGCUGUUGCGGCACAACAUUGAUAUCAACACUGUGAUAAGGAUACUGGGAGCGGAAGCCAGAAUCCUAGCCCACAAAAAUAAAGCUUCUGAUGCCAAGAAACUGAAUGACAUAAAAAUACACAUGGCCCAGCUAGAAUGGUAUAAGAAGAAAUCAAAAGAUCUGAACAAGGGUUACUACGACUGCUUCAAAAACCAGGGGUUAAAAAGGGACAUUAAAAUUGAACAGUAUAGGGGACACCUCACAAUAUACUGGAAAGACAUGGUUGCACAAGUACAGAGGAAGCCCCAGAAGGAAGGAGCAUCAUUUCGAACCAGUUGGCUCUAUCCAGGGACAACUUAUAGAAGAAUGGUUGAACCACUGGACAUUGCUGCCUUCUACAGAGAGGGUAGAACAGACUACAUAAACAAUGGAAGAUCUCCUCAUUACAAGCUGUUGCAGCAAUGGUAUGAGGAAGAUGUGAAGCCCCCAUCCAGAGAUAAGCUCGAUUCCAAGAAACUAAAGGUGUCUGGUAUCCUAACUGAGGAUUCUUUGUUUUGGGCACAUGUGGAGGAGGCUCUCUUGUCAUGCGAAUCGCUCAAGAGUGCAAACUCUACUCUUGAGCAGAGAAAAUCAUCAUGGGAUAAUCUGGUUAAGUUUGGGGAGUAUGUAAUGGAACAGAUUGGAAACUAUGCAGUGUCCCCUGAGAUUUUCUUGGGGGAAAGCAGCUUCAUGAAAUGGUGGGGAGUGUAUGAGGACUACAUAGAUGCUUCCAAUAAUUUCUAUGGGUCACCAUUGAUCAACUUUAUGAAGGACCGUAGUUAUAGACUGUAUGGUUAGAGGGCAAUCCAGUUUGUGUAUUGUGUUUAUUGUAUUGUGAGCAUUCAAUAGAUAAAACUAGAAAGAGCGUGACCUUUUUAUGACAACUUUAGAAACCAGGGGUUAAAAGAGACAUUACAAAUUGAAUUUUUUGAGAGGAAACCUCAAGAGUAUACUGGGAAGCCAUGGUGGAACAAGUAGAGAGGAAGCUUCGGAAGGAAGGAUCAAUGGUUGAACCACUUGACAUUGUUGCCUACUUCAGGGAGGGUGUAAGAAACAACAUAACCGAGGGAAGAUCUGAACAUUAAACAUUGUACAAUUAUUGUAAAUGUCUUAUACAUUACGUGUGAAAAUACCAAAAAAAAUUAUAUUCAACAUUUAUGUUUGUAUACAAGCAAUAUUUUGGAUAGUUUGAUAUAAAAAACAAAUGAAGAAAACGAAGAAAAACAUACAAAUAUAUUUACAAUGGACAAACUUAUACAAUUAGUGUAAAUGUCUUGUAUAUUUAGUACAAAAGUCUCGUACUUUGUAAAAAUAUAAAAAUAUAGUAUUUGACUUUUAUAUAUGUGUGAAAAUGUAAAAGGAAAAAGAAAAAUAGUUAGAGCAUUUGGUACCGUGAGUGAUGACUUCACCUAAAGAAAGGUUAAUGAAUAUUAUGGUCUCGAUGGAAGAGCGACUCCGGUAAAAUAUAUGGAUUAAAUUGAUGCUUUUCUUUUGACGAUGAAGUAGUUGAGUUAUGAAUACGAGGUUUUGCUAACAACAUUGAAGGCAAGGAUUCCCUAAUAUACUCCAAUUCAUAUUCAAUUUGUAGACCUUCAACUAACUACUCUUGCUAAUGAGCAUAUCCAAGUGAAUACAUAAGAUUAAUUAUUACAUAUGAUAAUUGAAACCCUGUUUAAAUAAAUAGUGACACAAAUAUAAAAAAUAUAUAUAUUUAAAAAUAAAUAAAUAAUAAUUUAGAGAAUUUCAUAACUUAGCAUCAAACCUAUUGUAGGAAAGAGUAUUAUACAAUGUAGGGUUUAGGAUCAAAGUUAACCUAAGAUCAAAUUUAAGUCUUAAGACCAAUUCACAUUCAAAACUAAGGUUUUAAAUUUCAAAAAUAUAUCUCUUAAACCAAUUAAAUGGAAAAAAGAAAAUUACAAAGAAAAUUUCUUCCUCAUCGGUUUCUUUUAUCUUGAAAACUAAAGGAAAUAUAUAUCAAUAUUUGAGAUGGAAAUUCAUAAUCUUAGAAACACAAAGAACAAAGAGAGUAUGAAGAGACCAUACCAUGAGAGAUUUUCCAAAAGGUUGGUAAACCAUGGUAAUCACCUUUGAGUUUUGCUGAGAAAAACAAACCUUAAUUUUUAUUUUUAUUUUUUUAUCAUUUUUUCUCUUGUGGUGUACAUUUAAGAAAAACAAAUCUUAAAAAAAAAAAAAAAAAAACCAAAUAAUGCCAGAAUUUGGGUUGAGAAACACCCAAAAGAUAGUGGCCCAAUACAUGUGCCUAAGAAAAUCUUCAUGAGCCGAUAAACAUAGUCACAAAACUAGGAACAGCCUUGUAGCCAUAGUUGGUGUAGUAUGAGCAAGUGGGGUAUGAAGUAGGUAGGUGAGUAUUGCAAUGAAAUUUCCAGCACUGCUUCCUGAAUUAAGAAAUCACAUACUCAAGUCUUAAUCGUUGUCAUCAUACCGUGUGAGAACCGAGGAAGAAUCUUUGCUCUUAGACUGGAUUUUGUAGUCUUUCUUUAACAAUUACAAGUUAUCUGAAUUCCCUUCAUCCUCCUAUAUAAUAUUGUUUUUGGUCUUGUUCUUGUUGCAUUGUGGCUAGGCAUCUCCAUGGGAGGAAGGAGGAUGAAUCAAGUUCCUUUGUAUGAAUCAAUUUCUCUGCUCUUUUUUUUUUCAAUCCUUGAAUCGAAUCAUUGCUUAGUUCUUGCUUUAAUUUCUCCAUUUUCUGUUGGGUCUUUGAUUGCAGGUUUAGCUCUGCAAGAAAACUGGGAAAUUUAAUUGUGACCUCCAAUCUAAUCGACUCUGCUUUGACUAAAAUUCUUGAGCUUCAAAGAGACCAAACAGCCUUGCCUUCCCCCGUUCAAUACAGAGUUUUUUAUCCAUCUCCCAAGUGCACAAUUGUAGCUUUUGUCUCUUCACCUGACUGCACUCAAAACCCUCUUCCUGGACAAGGAGAUUUAGUUCCCUCUCCUCUCUUUGACUUCCUCUGCACCGAAGAAUACAAGUCCGUCUCCAUUAACAGAGCUGCAUUAACCCUCUUUACCUCUCUCCACGAUCAUCUCUCUGGACUAAAAACUCAGGUCAAAAUAUGAUAGUUGUUUUUAUUUUCGUUUCCUUUUUGUUAACAAUUGUGAGACAUGAAACAGCUUGACCAUGAGAUCUCUCUCAUAGAGUCAAACUACCUGAAGAAGAAGAAGACGUUACACAUAUCCAUCUGCGCUGCAUCAUCGCAUUACCCAUUGAUCGGUUGUGAUUCAACUCUUAAUAGGAAGACAGUAGAACUGGUGUUGGUAUCUGUUUUUAGAUCAGCUUAUAUGUAUCUUGUUGCUAAAAAGGGAAAGUUUAGAAGUGAGAUUAAUGGGAUUAUUCUGACAUGGAUUUCAUAUGGUUAC